rnacentral:rRNA from 1 species
GGAGCCGUAGCGAAAGCGAGUUUUAACUGAGCGUUCAGUUACUUGACGUAGACCCGAAACCGGGCGACCUACCCAUGAGCAGGAUGAAGCGAAAGUAAAAUUUCGUGGAGGUCCGAACCCACGAGCGUUGAAAAGCUCGGGGAUGACUUGUGGGUAGCGGUGAAAUUCCAAUCGAGCCCGGAGAUAGCUGGUUCUCCCCGAAAUAGCUUUAGGGCUAGCCUCAAGGUGAGAGAUACGGAGGUAGAGCACUGAAUGUCCUAGGGGGUAUUGCACCUACCGAAGACUAUCAAACUCCGAAUGCCGUCAUCUUAUACUUGGGAGUCAGACUGUGGGUGAUAAGAUUCAUAGUCGAAAGGGCAACAGCCCAGAUCGUCAGCUAAGGUCCCUAAAUGUAAGUUAAGUGGUAAAGGAUGUGGGAUUGCACAGACAACCAGGAUGUUGGCUUAGAAGCAGCCACUCAUUCAAAGAGUGCGUAAUAGCUCACUGGUCGAGUGAUCCUGCGCCGAAGAUUUCCGGGGCUAAAACUUACUACCGAAGCUACGGCAUCAGUAAUGAUGGGUAGGGGAGCUUCCCAUACGGGUUGAAGCAUGACCGUAAGGACAUGUGGACAGUAUGGGAGUGAGAAUGUUGGCAUGAGUAGCGAGAUGUGGGUGAGAAUCCCACAGGCCGUAAACCCAAGGUUUCCAGGGGAAGGUUCGUCCGCCCUGGGUUAGUCGGGACCUAAGCUGAGGCCGAAAGGCGUAGGUGAUGGACAACAGGUUGAUAUUCCUGUACUACCGAUAACCGUUUGAGAGAAGGGAUGACACAGUAGGAUAAGCUAAGCACACUGUUGGUUAUGUGUGCCCAAGCAUUGAGGCAGUCAAAGUAGGCAAAUCCGCUUUGAUAAUGCUGGGAUGUGAUGGGGAGCGAAAUUUAGUAGCGAAGUAGCUGAUUUCACACUGUCAAGAAAAGUCUCUAUCGAGGUUAAAGGUACCCGUACCGCAAACCGACACAGGUGGGUGAGGAGAGUAUCCUAAGGCCAGCGAGAGAACUGUUGUUAAGGAACUCGGCAAAAUGACCCCGUAACUUAGGGAUAAGGGGUGCCACCAUCAGGUGGCCGCAGAGAAUAGGCCCAAGCGACUGUUUACCAAAAACAUAGGUUUCUGCUAAGUCGCAAGACGAUGUAUAGGAGCUGACGCCUGCCCGGUGCUGGAAGGUUAAGGGGAUCUGUUAGAGCAAUCGAAGCAGUGAACUUAAGCCCCAGUAAACGGCGGCCGUAACUAUAACGGUCCUAAGGUAGCGAAAUUCCUUGUCGGGUAAGUUCCGACCCGCACGAAAGGCGUAACGAUUUGGGCACUGUCUCAACAACAGACUCGGUGAAAUUGUAAUUCCGGUGAAGAUGCCGGAUACCUGCGACAGGACGGAAAGACCCCAUGGAGCUUUACUGUAGCUUGACAUUGGGUCUUGGUACUACAUGUACAGGAUAGGUGGGAGGCUUUGAAACCAGGACGCCAGUUUUGGCGGAGCCAUCCUUGGGAUACCACCCUUGUAGUACUGGGACUCUAACCAUAGGCCAUGAAUCUGGUCUUGGGACACUGUCAGGUGGGCAGUUUGACUGGGGCGGUCGCCUCCCAAAAGGUAACGGAGGCGCUCAAAGGUUCUCUCAGUACGGUCGGAAAUCGUACGUAGAGUGUAAAGGCAAAAGAGAGCUUGAUUGCAAGACAUACAGGUCGAGCAAGGAUGAAAAUCGGACUUAGUGAUCCGGUGGUUCUGCGUGGAAGGGCCAUCGCUCAACGGAUAAAAGCUACCCUGGGGAUAACAGGCUUAUCUCCCCCAAGAGUCCACAUCGACGGGGAGGUUUGGCACCUCGAUGUCGGCUCAUCACAUCCUGGGGCUGUAGUAGGUCCCAAGGGUUGGGCUGUUCGCCCAUUAAAGUGGUACGCGAGCUGGGUUCAGAACGUCGUGAGACAGUUCGGUCCCUAUCCGUCGCAGGCGUAGGAAAUUUGAGAAGACCUGUCCUUAGUACGAGAGGACCGGGAUGGACGUACCUCUGGUGUACCAGUUGUCCUGCCAAGGGCAUGGCUGGGUAGCUAUGU